AAGAAGAGGAGGAGGAGAAUAAGGGAAAAAAGUAGUCCAAGCUUGAUUUCCAUUCUCUCCUCUUUAUUUUCUUCAAUAAAUGGUGACGAAGAGAUUGGGAAAGCUUACUGACCAUCCGACUCUGUAGCUUGUAUCAUGUGAGUGAAAAAACUUAUUUUUCAAAAAUAAGUAUUUAUUGAAUUUAUAUUAAAUCAAAAAAUUAAAUAUUUUAUAUAGCUAGUUUGACAAUAUAAUUUUUCAGAAUAAAGUGCUUUCAAUUCUUUUUAAAGUUAAAUUUUGCUCAGUUAAAUCAUUUCAUUAGAUGUUAUAGUUGUAUUAAAUAUUUCAGCGUAUCUAAAGUUGUUUUCAAAACUACCAUAAAGUACCCAUGUAAUUUUACUCGGUCUGCAUUGGUGUGAUUGUGUUUUCACAAUGUGUGACCCCAUAUGAUUAUUUUAUUCACUCUAUAUUGUAGUGAGUUUCCACAAUAUAUAAUCAGUUAUGGUUAUUUUACUCGCUCUGCACCAUUGUGAUUAUAUUUUCAUAGUGUAUGACUAGAUUAUUGCUUUUGAGCAACUCUGCACGCGUAUGACCAGAAUUUCAAAUUUUAGAAUUGAAUAACUUUAUCAUGUACAUUGAGAUUAAUCAAUGCAUGAUUAUGGUUAUUCUGAGUACCUUUUUAGUGUGAUUUUCAGUAAUAUAUACAACUCAUUAGAUUUUAAAUUAUAGAAAUUAGUUUAUUCAAUUUAAAUAAUAAAGAUUUUAGCUUAUAAUACUGUAAAAUGAUAUUUUUAUUAUAUAUUAGUUUUCAGAAUGUUGGCAUAAAUAGAAAAAAAAUAUAUUUAUUUGUUAGAUAUCCACUCCCUGAGUUAUAAGUUCAUAUAUUUUGACAACAUUUUUCUUAUCAAAUAGUAGUUGAGUUGAGCAGCAUUGUAUCCCAUUGAUCUAUCAAGUGGAGCCACAUAUUGUCAGUUGUUGUAUGUCUCAUCUUGUCAAUUUUUACAAUACAUAUUUUUGGAAUACGUGCAUUUUUGUUAAAAAAUAAAAAAUAAUAAAAAUGUAUCCAUAUCAUAUGCUCA